rnacentral:misc_RNA from 1 species
CAGAGUUGCAAAACUCCCUAAACCAUUGUGAACCUACCCUUAAACAGUUGCUUCGGCGGCGCCCGGACAGGCCCGCCGGAGACCACUAAACUCUUGUUUUUUAGCACUUGGCCUCUCUGAGUUUACUAUACUGUAAUAAGUCA